AAAAACAGAACACCAAAACCCUAAGCAUUGCGAGAGGGUGUUGACAUGGAUGCAAUCCGAAAGCAGCUGGAUGUGUUGAUGGGAGCCAAUCGGAACGGAGAUGUUACCGAAGUCAAUCGGAAGUACUACGAUCGUGACGUCUGUCGUCUCUUCUUGGUCGGCCUUUGCCCGCAUGAACUCUUUCAACUUACUAAAAUGGACAUGGGACCAUGCCCAAAGGUGCACUCAUUUCAGCUGAGGAAAGAAUACCAAGAAGCCAAGGCAAAAGGUCAAGAUAAUUAUGAAAGGGAAUUGGAGGAUGUUAUAGACAGACUCAUUGUUGAAUGCGACAGAAAAAUUGCAAGAGCUCUUAAACGGCUUAGUGAGGAGGAUGCUAAAGCAGCUAUUGCUAUCUCUGUGUCAGAAGUUACUCAGACGCCUGAGAUUCUUGAGUUGUCAAAGCAGAUAAAAGAGAAACUGAAAGAAGCUGAUCAGUAUGACCUGGAAGGAAAAGUAGAUAUGAAGAUUCGAGCUAUGGAGAUGGUUGAAGAACUCAGAACUCAAAGAGCAGACAAACAGUCAAUGCUUUUAUUAGAUGCGUUUAACAAAGAUCGAGCUUCUUUACCGCAACCUCUUCCAAAUCCUCCACCAUUGGCACCAUUGCCCGUGGCUAAUCCUGAUGCCCGCACUCAGGAGUUGAUUAAUGAGAAGCUGAAAAAAGCAGAAGAUCUUGGUGAGCAAGGAAUGUUGGAUGAAGCACAAAAAGCACUGGAAGAGGCUGAAGCGCUUAAAAAGCUUUCAAUGCACUUUCCUCCUCGUCAGGAACCUGUAACAGACUCCUCUAAGUAUACUGCUGCAGAUGUGCGAGUUACUGAUCAGAAGUUGCGUGUUUGUGACAUCUGUGGAGCCUUCUUAAGUGUUUAUGACAGCAGGCUUUUGGGCCCAGUUUUACGAGGAUUAACUUUUGCUGCUAAAGAAUUGACCGUCGCUUAGCUGAUCAUUUUGGUGGAAAGCUACACCUUGGCUAUAUGCAAAUACGUGAGAAGUUAGCUGAUCUUCUGGAAGAGAGAACCAAUAAAAGGAAGGUUCCGGAAGAUGACAGAAGAUCGAAAGAACGAAGCAAAGAUCUUGAAAGGGAAGGUAGCAGAGACCGGGUCCGAGCUAGUAGCCGUGACCGUGAUCGUGUGCGCGAUAGUGACCGUAGGAGCCGAGACCGUGAUAGGCAUCAGGAUCGUGAUCGUGGUUAUGAUCGCUAUGACCGUGAUAGAGAAAGGGACCGUGAUUCAAGGAGUCGACAUAGGUCGCGAUCAAGGGACCGUGUUAGGGAUUAUGAUCGACCAAGGCGUUAUGACCGGUACUAGCAAUGAAGUGGAUAAAAAGGUUGUGUCUUGCACAAACAUUUGUUUUAUAUUUAUCGGUUGGUGAUGUUUUAACAUCGGAUCUGAAUCUUUGAUUGCGGAUCUAAUCAAGUACUAGAAGAAAUUAUCCUCUUUGUAUUUGUUCUCAUUAAAGGGAGAUUUCAUAAUGUUUUCUAGUGCAGGAUUGUGAAUUUAUGACCCUUGUAUUGGUGCAAGUGUAUGCUCAAGUUCUUUAUAAUAUGGAUGGUGGUUCUAUUGCUGAAA